rnacentral:rRNA from 1 species
AACUCCUACGGGAGGCAGCAGUAGGGAAUCUUCGGCAAUGGACGAAAGUCUGACCGAGCAACGCCGCGUGAGUGAAGAAGGUUUUCGGAUCGUAAAACUCUGUUGUUAGAGAAGAACAAGGAUGAGAGUAACUGUUCAUCCCUUGACGGUAUCUAACCAGAAAGCCACGGCUAACUACGUGCCAGCAGCCGCGGUAAUACGUAGGUGGCAAGCGUUGUCCGGAUUUAUUGGGCGUAAAGCGAGCGCAGGCGGUUUCUUAAGUCUGAUGUGAAAGCCCCCGGCUCAACCGGGGAGGGUCAUUGGAAACUGGGAGACUUGAGUGCAGAAGAGGAGAGUGGAAUUCCAUGUGUAGCGGUGAAAUGCGUAGAUAUAUGGAGGAACACCAGUGGCGAAGGCGGCUCUCUGGUCUGUAACUGACGCUGAGGCUCGAAAGCGUGGGGAGCAAACAGGAUUAGAUACCCUGGUAGUCCACGCCGUAAACGA